AUGAAUUCUUCUACAUUAGAUAUAAAAGAAGCUGAGAGAACCUUGAUGUUGAAGCCGGCCUUCGCGCUGGUCUCCAUGAACAAGGCGCCAUGCUCCUUGGCCUUGGCUUCCCCUUCGUCCGUGGGCACUUGCCUGGAGGCGGCAACAUUCAUUCAGGUGAACAAACGGAAGAAAAUGAAUCGCCAAGGUUGGUGCGAUGUGGCUUUCUCCACAGAGAUUCAGGGAUAUGUAUGUAUAGUGUACGUACCUCUGGUCAACGAGGUCUGUUUUGUUUCCGACGAGCACGAUCAGCACAUCUUUGCCUCUCGCCGUGUUCACUUCGUCGAUCCACUUCGAUGUAUGCAGAAACGAUUGCGUGUCUGCAGAAAACAAUGGUGGUAUGAGGCUGUCAGUGUACGAGGGUGA
rnacentral:rRNA from 1 species